rnacentral:ncRNA from 3 species
UACGUAGGGGCCUAGCGUUGUCCGGAAUCAUUGGGCGUAAAGAGCUCGUAGGCGGUUCGGCAAGUCACGUGUGAAAUCUCCACGCUUAACGUGGAGGCGCCACGUGAAACUGCCGUGACUCGAGUCCGGUAGGGGAGUGUGGAAUUCCCGGUGUAGCGGUGAAAUGCGCAGAUAUCGGGAGGAACACCAGUAGCGAAGGCGGCACUCUGGGCCGGUACUGACGCUGAGGAGCGAAAGCGUGGGGAGCGAACAGG